rnacentral:rRNA from 1 species
UUUUUUUUUUUUUUUUUUUUUUUUUUAAAAUUUUUAUUAUUUUAUAAUUUAUAAGUAUUUUUAAGAACAUAGUUUUCUUUUUAACUGCUAAGGUUAAUAUUUUUAGAAUUUAGUAAAUAUUUUUAGUACCUUUUGUAUCAGGGUUUAUUUAAAAUUUAACAUAUUUUGUUUUCCCGAAUUGAAUUUAUUUAAGUAACUUUUUUUAAAAAUGUUUAAUAAUUUUAUACAAAUUUUAUUUAGUAAUUAUAAGUUAAUCGUUUUUCAUUAUAUCUGGUUGUUAAGGAUAAAAUUUAAUUUGAGAUUUAGUUUUAAUUAAUAUUAUACUUUAUUUAAAUCUAAAUUUAAUAAGGAUAACCUUGUUAUUUAAAUAAAAUUUAUUUUAUUUGAUUUUUUUUAAUUUUAAAAUUUUAUAUUUAGUUUUUAAUAAAUUAUUCUCUUAUGUUAAGAUUUUAGUUUUUAUUUAUUAUUUUACUUAAUAAAUUUAUUUAAUUUUUUUAUGAUUUAUAUUAUGAUAAAAUUAGUAAAAUUUAUAUUUAAUUAAUUAAUAAUUCGACAAUACUAAAUUUCAACUGUUUAUCAAAAACAUUUCUUUUAGUUUAAAAUUAAAAGUAAGAUCUGCUCAAUGAAUAUUUAAAUAGCUGCAGUAAUUUGACUGUACAAAGGUAGCAUAAUAAUUAGUUUUUUAAUUGAGAACUUGUAUGAAAGAUUAAAUGAGAAUUUAUUUAUUUUUUUUUUAUUUUUUUAAUUUAAUUUAUUUGUUAAAAAGCAUAUAUUUUUAUUAGGGACGAUAAGACCCUAUAGAACUUUAUUAUUAUUUAUUAUUUUCUUUAUUUUGUUGAUUAAUUGAAAUUUUAAUUAUUUUUUUUGCUGGGGUGGUAAAUAAAUUUUUUAAACUUUAUUUUAGUUAAUCAUUUAUUUAUGUUUAAUUUAGAUCUUUAAUUUUGAUUGUAAGAUUUAGUUACCUUAGGGAUAACAGCGUAAUUUUAAUGGAGAGUUCAUAUUUAUAUUAAAGUUUGCGACCUCGAUGUUGAAUUAGGAUAAAAUUUUGGGGUAGGUUUCAAUUUUAUAAGUCUGUUCGACUUUUAAAUUCUUACAUGAUUUGAGUUCAAACCGGUGUGAGCCAGGUUGGUUUCUAUCUUAUUAUAUUAAAUUCUUUUUAGUACGAAAGGACCAUAAGAUUCAAUUUUUAAUUGUUUAUUAUU